rnacentral:rRNA from 1 species
GACGAACCGUCCAAACGUUAUUCGGAAUCACUGGGCUUACAGAGUUCGUAGGCGGUCUGGCAAGUUGGGUGUGAAAUCCCUCGGCUCAACCGAGGAACUGCGCUUGAAACUACCAGACUCGAGGGAGAUAGAGGAAAGCGGAACUGAUGGUGGAGCGGUGAAAUGCGUUGAUAUCAUCAGGAACACCGGUGGCGAAGGCGGUUCUCUGGGCAUUACCUGACGCUGAGGAGCGAAAGUGUGGGGAGCGAACAGG